rnacentral:rRNA from 1 species
UACGGAGGGUGCAAGCGUUAUCCGGAUUCACUGGGUUUAAAGGGUGCGUAGGCGGCGCGGUAAGUCACUUGUGAAAUCUCUGAGCUUAACUCAGAACGGCCAAGUGAUACUGCAGUGCUAGAGUGUGGAAGGGGCAAUCGGAAUUCCUGGUGUAGCGGUGGAAUGCGCAGAUAUCAGGAGGAACACCAAUGGCGAAGGCAGCUCGCUGGGACGGUACUGACGCUGAGGCGCGAAAGCGUGGGGGAGCGAACAGG